rnacentral:rRNA from 1 species
AACGAACGCUGGCGGCAGGCUUAACACAUGCAAGUCGAGCGCCCCGCAAGGGGAGCGGCAGACGGGUGAGUAACGCGUGGGAAUCUACCCAUCUCUACGGAAUAACGCAUGGAAACGUGUGCUAAUACCGUAUACGUCCUUCGGGCGAAAGAUUUAUCGGAGAUGGAUGCGCCCGCGGUGGAUUAGCUAGUUGGUGGGGUAAAGGCCUACCAAGGCGACGAUCCAUAGCUGGUCUGAGAGGAUGAUCAGACACACUGGGACUGAGACACGGCCCAGACUCCUACGGGAGGCAGCAGUGGGGAAUAUUGGACAAUGGGCGCAAGCCUGAUCCAGCCAUGCCGCGUGAGUGAUGAAGGCCCUAGGGUUGUAAAGCUCUUUCACCGGUGAAGAUAAUGACGGUAACCGGAGAAGAAGCCCCGGCUAACUUCGUGCCAGCCGCCGCGGUAAUAC